UACGAAGGGUGCAAGCGUUACUCGGAAUUACUGGGCGUCAAGCGUGCGUAGGUGGUUUGUUAAGUCUGCUGUGAAAGCCCCGGGCUCAACCUGGGAAUGGCAGUGGAUACUGGCAAGCUAGAGUGCGGUAGAGGGGUGUGGAAUUCCCGGUGUAGCGGUGAAAUGCGUAGAGAUCGGGAGGAACACCAGUGGCGAAGGCGGCACCCUGGACCAGCACUGACACUGAGGCACGAAAGCGUGGGGAGCAAACAGG
rnacentral:rRNA from 1 species